rnacentral:rRNA from 1 species
CGGUGAAGUGUUCGGAUCGCGGCGAUGUGGUCGGUCCGCCGCCGACGACGUCGCAAGAAGUCCACUGAACCUUAUCAUUUAGAGGAAGGAGAAGUCG